rnacentral:sRNA from 1 species
GCUGGGUGUGGUGGUGCAGGCCUGUAAUCCCAGCAGCUCAGGAGGCUGAGGCAGGAAGAUCGUAGGUUCAAAGCCAGUCUCAGCAAUUUAAUGAGGCCCUAAGCAACUUAGUGAGACCCUGUCUCUA